GCUGGCGCUCAGCGGUAGAGCCCUCGCCUAGCGUGUGUGAGGCCUUGGGUUCGAUCCUCAGCACCGCA
rnacentral:tRNA from 1 species